GACAGAUUUAAAAAUCUCUUAAUUUUUUGGCUUCAAAAUUGGUUCAUUGAAUCACGAUACUCUAUCCAGUACUACUUUGAUCGCGUAGAAAUAGGGCUUAAAAUAUUGUUGUACAAUUUCUAAGUUUGUAUUCUUUCAAAGUAUAGUUAUCUGCGAACACCAUGAUGAGCACUGUACCAAAAUAUGCCACAAAAACGAUGAUCAUGAUAGCGUUAGCAAUGACACUAUGUCGUCUCCAGUAUUUCAUCCAAAUCUUUUGCAUCGGAAUGUCAUAAAAGUGAAUCUGAAUGAACACAGACAUAAUAUUGAAUGCAAAAUCUAUGGCCAAAC
rnacentral:lncRNA from 1 species